rnacentral:misc_RNA from 1 species
GAUAAUAUUAGGUUAUGUAUCAUACUAUUAUAAUAUAUUUAUGGAAAAGUAUGAAUUAGUACUUUGUACUUUUGCGCAUUUUCAAUUUGUGGAUUAGACAAUUUCAUUACAAAUCAAGGAUUACAAAUCAAGGAUUAUAGCAUCGCGUUGUUAGCAAUCGAGGAAAAAUUGGGUAAUGUUGUUAAUUGCCCUGAUGUCGUGGCACAUUGAUGUUGAUGCCAUGCCAUCAGGGCACGUGCCAUGUCAUCGCCACACAAGCAAAUCCUUAAAUUACAAAAAAAUGUAGAAGUAUAAGUUUGUAAAUUGUAAAUAAAAUAAAGUUUUAGCCUGGAAUGUUAAAAGUAUAAAAGUUUCAAAACUAUGUGAAAAAAUUUAGGACAGGGA